UGUGUAACACCUAUGUGUAUGUGUCUGUUCGGUCUCAGACACACGCAUAUUCACGAAACUGCCGUCGCUCGCCUCUCGCCCUUCAUCUGUGUGUAGGGAGAAUUUUCCGAAAACCAAGCGAAAACCGCAUAGUAUGAGUUUCCAUUUUCUACAUAUAUAUAUAAUAUCUAAUUGAAAAAAAAACAUCUCAAA